GGCUUUGCCCGCGGCGUAUUUUUGGCACCCCGAGGCCCUGCGCAAAGUCUCGCCCCAUUCCGAGUCCGGCGGACGAACUUCGCCCGCGCCCCCCACCAAGGCUAUAGCCCACCCGUUUUUUGGCCAUUUUUCCGCUGGGGGGUUUUGGCACCACGACCUUCGGGCGCUUAUUUUUGGGCGUGGUUUUGCCCGCAGCUUAUUUUUGGCGCCCCGAGGCCCCGCGCAAAGUCUCGCCCCAUUCCGAGUCCGGCGGAC
rnacentral:lncRNA from 1 species